rnacentral:rRNA from 1 species
CCUACGGGAGGCAGCAGUGGGGAAUAUUGCACAAUGGGGGGAACCCUGAUGCAGCGACGCCGCGUGAGUGAAGCAGUAUUUCGGUAUGUAAAGCCCUAUCAGCAGGGAAGAAAAUGACGGUACCUGACUAAGAAGCCCCGGCUAACUACGUGCCAGCAGCCGCGGUAAUACGUAGGGGGCAAGCUUUAUCCGGAUUUACUGGGUGUAAAGGGAGCGCAGACGGCGGUGCAAGUCUGGCGUGAAAGGCCGGGGCCCAACCCCCGGACUGCUCUUGAAACUGUAAAGCUGGAGUGCAGGAGAGGUAGGCGGAAUUCCUGGUGUAGCGGUGAAAUGCGUAGAUAUUAGGAGGAACACCAGCGGCGAAGGCGGCUUACUGGACUGCAACUGACGUUGAGGCUCGAAAGCGUGGGGAGCAAACAGGAUUAGAUACCCGGGUAGUC